UCCUUCCCGGUCUACCGAUGUGUAAAAUCAAAUGGCACCUUCACACCCACGUUUCCGUAUCCCGGCGAUGGCGGCACGGCCAUAGGCAUUCAUGGCGGCCCGCACCCCGAGGCACCUCUUCCCCAAGCACGGCACGGGGUGGGGCGCUCCACGGCGGCGGAUCCGAGCGGGCGAUUGUGGUCAACUGGCGGCGGCGGAUCCGGAUCCACCAGGUGACGGCGACGCCCCCCCUCAAGAGGAAGCGCCUGCGCAGCUCGUCCUCUCCUAUCGAAAUCAACGACGAGCUCUGGAUUUGAAGGUUUUGGUGGGGAGCGGCAAGUGCCCUGAUCCCCCACACGGACACGGCGAUGCUGCUGCUGCGAAGCCAUGGAGGCGGCAGCGCGCGACGCGCCCCCUUCACCACUAACACGGCCCCUUCCCCGUCGCUUUUUCCGCUUCGGCCGAAGAUAUUUCUGAUCUGCGGAGAGCGGCUGGAGCCCGUCCUCCUUACUGAUGUCUCUCCCCUCGCGCACAUAUACCUGUGCAGUCUAGUGGCGCAUGUCUCACCAGCGGCGUGUAGGCAACCUGUUCGAUGAAAUUCCCCUAAAGAAACAUCUAGCCAGGCAAGAAAUUACUUCUAAUAUAUGUAUUUUCUUUAUUAGAUGUGUGUUCAUCUGAUGCGUGCCUUUUCUUUCUAGUUGUGCUCGGUCUGUUCCUUCCACAGAUUUACGGUUAUGUUCUCUUGCGAUUUGUUUUCAGAUAUGCAUGUCAACCGACAUGAAUCUGCACCAAGUAGACGAGCAAGGCACAUGCUGUGCCUCGUUGUGCUGGCCAGUGAUAGGUGCCUAGUUCUCUACUUCAUGCUGCCGGCCUGCCAUCGGCCAAGGCAAGUCCACAUGACUCUGAAAUUAUCUGUCAUAUUCAAAUGGAAUUUAACUGAAACCAAUUAGAAUUUAGUAAUUUUGAUGUACUAAUACAUCCCUUUGAGAUGCAUGUUAAAGUAUAGGCAUAUUCUAAUUGUACUGGAAUUAUUUCCAGGGUUUGAUCUUUAGCAGGAUAUGGGUAAGGGAUCUGAUUUUUUUUAAAAAAAAAUUGUAGCAAGCUACUUAAUUCUGGCAUCCGGCGUGCUGAUCGGCUCAUGCCAUACAAAUCAAUAUAUGAUGCCAUUGUAUACAAAUCUGUUAGUGGGUUAUUUCUUGUAUCAUAAUGAAUUUUCAUUGAGCAGUACAUAGUGCCAUAGUGUUAUUCAUAAAAUUCAGUAAAUAUACUACAAUUCAGAAAAGAGGAGUAUAAUACUGCUUAGCGAUGAGUAUAUACUCCCAAAGACAUUCAGAUAUUUGUUUUCAAUUCCGUUCCAAUUAGAGUUUGCUUCUAUGUGCAAUAUGUUCCAUGUGCACUUGUGCUUGUUGUAUACUUAUUUCAGGUGGUGGUGCUGCGGGCAUGGUGGUGCUGUAUGGCGGCAUCAUAUAGUGGAUGGUUAUGGUGCUUUGCACCAAUCAAAGGGAUUAGUUGGAGGCCGGCAUCGUCGUUCAUUCCCACCACCAACCGUGGCCACCUAGCAUUCAGAAAAGAACAUACCAUAGGCUUCUGUUUGAUGGAACGCAAGCACGAUUUAGCUAGAUGAUGCUUCCCAUUGGUGAUCUUCAUGUUUGCAGUACAAGUUUACUAAACUUGCAAAAUAUAGUCAACAAAAUUUUUGUAUACCAAAUAAUUGCUUCUUGUUUUGGUGGCCUUCUAAUGAAUCUGUCAUAUUUACGGUUA